UCACUGCAACGCCGGAUCCGUAACCCACUGAGCGAAGCCAGAUAUGAAACCUGCGUCCUUGUGGAUGCUAGUCAGAUUCGGUUCUGCUGAGCCACUACGGGGAACUUCAUAUGGCGCUUUUUUGAAAGGUUAUGCCCUGCCGCCUUCCCUCCUGUUUUAGAAGGGGCUUCAGGAAAAAUUCUUCAGAAAAGGGUUAUUCAGCUUGCAUGGAUUUCUUUGGACUUGCCUUCAGAUCCUAAUCCUUUCAUUUCUGCCUGGAAUGUGGACCUGAAGCUAGAAAGUGGAGCUGUCGUCUUGUAAUUGCCAGGACUGAAAUACACAGUGAGGAUGGUGGAGUGAGAGUGAAACGGAACUUGUGUUCCUACUGGGACUGUGGCAUGGCGCUACCAGAUUUGGACUGCUGCUAUCCAAACUUGUUGCUACGUGAGAAGAAUUCAACCUUUUUUUGAUUAAGCCAUUUUAGCUAGGCUUCUGUUACAUGCAGCUGAAGACAGUCCUGAAGCAAGCUGUAGGCACACCAGCAGAUGUCCAGUGCUGACCACGCCCAGGAUGAUCCACCCCUGCAGAAGAGCCCAAGGAGGAGACCAGCUGGCUCUGAGCCCCUGUUCCAUUGUCUCACCCUGGCCCCUGCAAAGCUCAUGGGCCAGUGGCUGUCUUUUAUGGAAGAGGAUCCAGCAAAUGUAGGGGAUCCACGGUUGGCCUCAGCAGACAGCCAUGAGGGGACAGGUGAGCAAGCUGACCCUGGCCUUGCUGAGCUCAGCAGAAGUACUGUUCCCAAGUGGAAGCUUUGAUGUACAGGCUGCAGCUGUCUUUUUGGAUUACACAGGCACAUGUCCUUCAGCCUCCCGGGCUUCUUGCAAUACCAGAGGACCUCAGAGGAAUUCAUAAUGAAGGAGCUGAGGCAAUCACCCACUUUUAGAGAAAAAGAGAUUUUUAAAGCAGAAUUCUUUUGCUGUUUUUAAAAUGCACUUCAGGAGUCCCCUUGUGGUACAGCAGGUUAAGGAUCAGGCAUGGUCACUGUAGCAGCU